rnacentral:rRNA from 1 species
AGGGUUCGAUUCUGGCUCAGGAUGAACGCUGGCGGCGUGCUUAACACAUGCAAGUCGAACGGGAUCCAUCAAGCUUGCUUGGUGGUGAGAGUGGCGAACGGGUGAGUAAUGCGUGACCGACCUGCCCCAUACACCGGAAUAGCUCCUGGAAACGGGUGGUAAUGCCGGAUGCUCCAGUUGAUCGCAUGGUCUUCUGGGAAAGCUUUCGCGGUAUGGGAUGGGGUCGCGUCCUAUCAGCUUGACGGCGGGGUAACGGCCCACCGUGGCUUCGACGGGUAGCCGGCCUGAGAGGGCGACCGGCCACAUUGGGACUGAGAUACGGCCCAGACUCCUACGGGAGGCAGCAGUGGGGAAUAUUGCACAAUGGGCGCAAGCCUGAUGCAGCGACGCCGCGUGAGGGAUGGAGGCCUUCGGGUUGUAAACCUCUUUUAUCGGGGAGCAAGCGAGAGUGAGUUUACCCGUUGAAUAAGCACCGGCUAACUACGUGCCAGCAGCCGCGGUAAUACGUAGGGUGCAAGCGUUAUCCGGAAUUAUUGGGCGUAAAGGGCUCGUAGGCGGUUCGUCGCGUCCGGUGUGAAAGUCCAUCGCUUAACGGUGGAUCCGCGCCGGGUACGGGCGGGCUUGAGUGCGGUAGGGGAGACUGGAAUUCCCGGUGUAACGGUGGAAUGUGUAGAUAUCGGGAAGAACACCAAUGGCGAAGGCAGGUCUCUGGGCCGUUACUGACGCUGAGGAGCGAAAGCGUGGGGAGCGAACAGGAUUAGAUACCCUGGUAGUCCACGCCGUAAACGAUGAGUGCUAGGUGUUGGAUCCUUUCCGGGAUUCAGUGCCGCAGCUAACGCAUUAAGCACUCCGCCUGGGGAGUACGACCGCAAGGUUGAAACUCAAAGGAAUUGACGGGGGCCCGCACAAGCAGUGGAGUAU